UUAUAUUUCAGAUUCUUUUUGUUCUUCCUUAGGUUCAAAUGUAUCAGUUGUUUUUGUUGACAGAUAUCAAGUUUAGUUGCCUACCAGCAGUUUGGUGCUACAAGUCAACAACAGUCAGACUAAAUUAAAUAAAGCCAUGUCUAUUUCUACAUGAUUUUGUUGCUACUAACCUGGUGUUACUAACAACUAACUCGAAAAGGGAGAGGGGAAUUAUCAUCUUAUUCAUGUACUAUUUACAUUAAAUUUUUACCAAAUUAUUAAAUUUUUACUACCCUUACUAUUUUAACUGUGAAUAGACCUUGAUUUUAAUGAUUUAACUGUAUAGAAUUUAGCUCCUGUUAUGUAGAGAGAGAGAGUAGUCUUUAAGGGACUGCAGGCACGACAUGGCCUAAAUUGUGCAGAUGUGCAUAAAAUCAAAGAAAUAAAACAUUAACAAAAUGUGUAUUAAAAUUGUCACUUUUCCUCUACUUAGAAUUUUUUUCUCUCCUAGAUUUUCAUAAUUUUUUGUUGAAGUCAUUUCAGUUCUCAAUUAUUUUGUGCACCAAGUUACAAGAAAAAAUUUAAGCAAGAGAGGUCACUACACUAAGACUUUGUCUUCUCAUAAGAAAGGAUGGCUGCCUGGUCAUGUGAUAUGUGCACUGGACUGUGUAUGGUCAUCUUGAUGCUCAUAUCUUGCCUGAUGACAUUUAUUCUGCUGAACAUUUGGUCAAGGAAGUAGAUUCUCUUCAGCUCUCAAGAAACAUUCAAAACAUGUCAAACAUUCGACAAGAAUAUCAAGUGCAAUGUACAUACCAACAUGAUGAAAAGGUAGACAACAUGAAGAUGUAGACCAACAUGAUGAAGAUGUAGACCAACAUGAAGAGGUAGACCAGCAUGAUGAAGAUGUAGACCAACAUGAUGAAGAUGUAGACCAACAUGAAGAUGAAAUGUAAACCAAAAAAUGGGUCAAGAGAUGUAUGGAAUACAAUGUGAACAUCUUGAGAAGUAAAACAAUUCCUAGAGGCAAAGACACAGACACACCGGAUCUAUUAGAGAUUUUCCUUUUCUACCAUCAUUUAGAGACUUCCUUGUGCUCUAAGGGAAUAUGUCAUUAUCUUUUGAUUGCUAAUUGGCAUUGAUGUUUUUACAUUCCUACUGCGUCUGAAAGAAAUUAACAUUUCCCUAAUGCUACUUCAAAACCAGACCUUCUCAAGACAAUUUUAGUGACCAAGCUGCAAUAUGGGACUCAGUAGGAAACAAUGAAGAAUGCUCCUAACCUCAGGUUGAGUAACCAUGCUCACCUACUAGAGUGGCGACAAAUACUUCUACAUCCACAGUUAUACAUCCUGAACCCUGUAACCCAACCUCACAACAUGGUUACAUUACCGGAAGUGGUCGCAAGGUCAGAAAACCUAACAGAUACAAUGGAUAGAACAAUGAACAGGUACAAGUACUCAAGUGAUGUACUUUGUGAGAACUAUUUAGGUGGAAUCACCAUAAUUGACUUGUAUAAAUCUUGUUCUAUAUUUAGGUAUAUCUUGACAAUCAGUCCAGUCAUUUGUUCAUUUUUUUUUUAAAUAUUCCUUUUUUUCCCCUCAAUCUUCUUGUUGUUUCAGUUACAUGUUUUUGUAUUUUGAAGGAGGAAGGUGCUUUGGUAUAUUAUCCUUAUUAUUAUUGUACCAGUAUUAAGCAAACUUGUAUAUCUUUAAUUAUUCAUGAAUUCUAAAGCAGAACGUCACUUCCACCGGAAAAUGUUGUAACAACUAUACGUGUCUUCAGUUAACAUUCAAUACUCUGUACAGUCACAACGCCAAAGCCUUGCUAGAUUAUGCUUUUAAUUCAAUUUGUUAGUGCUUUAGUGUGCUAUCAUAUAAUUUUUUGUGUCACAUCCCUGCACAAUUUGUUCUAUGCUUUUUUACAGUAUAAAUAGCGACUUGACAUUAUUUAGCUCUAUUAUAAUAUUGUUAUAUUAUUAUAUUUAAAAUAAAACUGUUAACAUAUUCUAUGCUGUUAUAAUAUAAAUGUUUUGCUGUUACCAUGAAUACAGUUUUGAGUUUUUGUCUGAUAUCUUAGAGGAGAAAUUUUCCAUAAAUAAUAAUAAUAAGGCUUAUCUUCAAGUCCGAAGAUUAGUGAGAAGUAUGCAGUAUUCCCCAGCUAGGACCUACAUAUUUUGCUAUAAAUAAAGAGUAUAAUAAUAUUUACUACUUGGUAUUGUCAGUCUUCACUAAAGCAAUGAGUUUAUCCCCUUAGUGUGUUUAAAAUUUUCAAAUACUAAUUCACUUUGUAUUAUCUAUUGGUGAUCAUGGGGUAUCCACUUUGUCAUCUCCAUAGUCUCUGGUGUUAACACUCACUGUCCUGUUGGAGGUUACGGCUAGGAUGUAAUCUCUCUUUCUGAUGGAACACAUGUAAAACCAACAAAACAAACAUUAGACCUAGACUUUAUUAACAGGUAAAUUUUUAUAAUUGUGAACUGGCGCUCCCAAAGCUACUUUUAUGUAUUUUAAAUUUUACUUCUGUAGGCUAGUGCUAAGCUGUAUACUUGUAUUUCUGCCUAUUAUAUGGGUUAGGGUGGAGUACUUAAAAUAGAGCCUAUGCUGUUUCCUGUACUGUUGACCAGUGGUCUCUGUGUCAGUUUUAAUUAUUCUGUACCUGGGACUGUCUGUAAGUUUCAGAAUUUUUCUUUUAUUUUUUUAAAUUUUACUAUGUGUAAAUCUGUUUUAUAUUUGAACAACUGUCAAAAUAACUAGCAGUUUUUUUUUUUCUAAAGUUUGUUUUAAAAAUAUGGCCAAGCCCUGCCCAGUGCUGUCAUGAUGGCCACUUCUAAUGUUUAUGUACUAGAUUGUAACUGCUGCCUUAGUCAUUGAAAUUAAAGUCUCAUUUGAAUUUC